GAUGAACGCUGGCGGCGUGCCUAAUACAUGCAAGUCGAGCGAACGGACGAGAAGGUUGCUUCUCUGAUGUUAGCGGCGGACGGGUGAGUAACACGUGGAGAACCUACCUAUAAGACUGGGAUAACUUCGGGAAACCGGAGCUAAUACCGGAUAAUAUUUUGAACCGCAUGGUUCAAAAGUGAAAGACGGUCUUGCUGUCACUUAUAGAUGGAUCCGCGCUGCAUUAGCUAGUUGGUAAGGUAACGGCUUACCAAGGCAACGAUGCAUAGCCGACCUGAGAGGGUGAUCGGCCACACUGGAACUGAGACACGGUCCAGACUCCUACGGGAGGCAGCAGUAGGGAAUCUUACGCAAUGGGCGAAAGCCUGACGGAGCAACGCCGCGUGAGUGAUGAAGGUCUUCGGAUCGUAAAACUCUGUUAUUAGGGAAGAACAUAUGUGUAAGUAACUGUGCACAUCUUGACGGUACCUAAUCAGAAAGCCACGGCUAACUACGUG
rnacentral:rRNA from 1 species